UCUUUGCUAGUAUAUCGGUUAGUACACGCGCCUGUCAUAUUACCGAUUUGGCGCACCGCGCGAAAGCUGGGUUCGACUCCCAGGCAGAGAG